GUGUGAAAAAAAGAACACCCUCUUUGAAUUUUAUGGUUUUACGUAUCAGGACAUAACAAUCAUCUGUUCCUUAACAGGUCUAAAAAUUAGGUAAAUACAAUCUCAGAUGAACAACAACACAUGACAUAUUACAUAAUAUUAUUAUUCAACAAAAAUAAA